rnacentral:ncRNA from 1 species
GUUCCAGCGUUGAAGAGAUGAGUACGAACAACAACUAUUAGCCAGAGAGUCGGCAUUUGGUGAGAGUCGAUAAUAGCGUUGUUUGGAAUAAUGGUCUCGGAGUGGUUGUAAAGAUGAGCUAGUAAGGUAAGUUUUUGCCGGGUGCGCCCGUUAUUGCGCAACGAUAUAUCCAAUUUGAUUUGGCGUAUUGUGAGGUUAGGAUAAUCUAACAAACUCGGGUGGUACCACGGUGAAAAGUCGUCCCGUAA